rnacentral:rRNA from 1 species
ACGAACGCUGGCGGCGUGCCUAAUCCAUGCAAGUUGAGCGCUGAAGGUUGGUACUUGUACCGACUGGAUGAGCAGCGAACGGGUGAGUAACGCGUGGGGAAUCUGCCUUUGAGCGGGGGACAACAUUUGGAAACGAAUGCUAAUACCGCAUAAAAACUUUAAACACAAGUUUUAAGUUUGAAAGAUGCAAUUGCAUCACUCAAAGAUGAUCCCGCGUUGUAUUAGCUAGUUGGUGAGGUAAGGGCUCACCAAGGCGAUGAUACAUAGCCGACCUGAGAGGGUGAUCGGCCACAUUGGGACUGAGACACGGCCCAAACUCCUACGGGAGGCAGCAGUAGGGAAUCUUCGGCAAUGGACGAAAGUCUGACCGAGCAACGCCGCGUGAGUGAAGAAGGUUUUCGGAUCGUAAAACUCUGUUGGUAGAGAAGAACGUUGGUGAGAGUGGAAAGCUCAUCAAGUGACGGUAACUACCCAGAAAGGGACGGCUAACUACGUG